rnacentral:rRNA from 1 species
UACGAAGGGGGCUAGCGUUGCUCGGAAUUACUGGGCGUAAAGGGCGCGUAGGCGGAUACUUAAGUCGGAGGUGAAAGCCCAGGGCUCAACCCUGGAAUAGCCUUCGAUACUGGGUAUCUUGAGUUCGGGAGAGGUGAGUGGAACUCCGAGUGUAGAGGUGAAAUUCGUAGAUAUUCGGAAGAACACCAGUGGCGAAGGCGACUCACUGGCCCGAUACUGACGCUGAGGCGCGAAAGCGUGGGGAGCAAACAGG